rnacentral:lncRNA from 1 species
GCUGCAGCAGAGCCCUCUGCAGACCUUUGGCCAUGCUCUCAUUACACUUGAUUGCCAUUGACAGCUUGAUGUAAGUCAGGUUGUAGAUGAGCAUGAGAGUGUGGAGCAGAGUCGGCGAGCGCAAGUCGAGCCCAUCAACCUGGACAGCUGUCUCCGUGCUUUCACCGGUGAGGAAGAGCUAGGGGAAGAUGAGAUGUACUACUGUUCCAAGUGUAAGACCCACUGCUUAGCAACAAAGAAGCUGGAUCUCUGGAGGCUUCCACCCUUCCUGAUUAUUCACCUUAAGUGAUUUCAGUUUGUAAAUGAUCAGUGGAUAAAAUCACAGAAAAUUGUCAAAUUUCCUCGGGAAAGUUUUGACCUGAGUGCUUUUUUGGUACCACGAGACCCGGCUCUCUGCCAGCAUCAACCACUCACACCCCAGGGGGAUGAGCUCUCCAAGCCCAGGAUUCUGGCAAGAGAGGUGAAGAAAGUGGAUGUGCAGAGUUUGGCUGGGGAAUAGGACAUGCUCCUGAGCAAAAGCCCAUCCUCACUCAGCGCUAACAUCAGCAGCAGCCCAAAAGGUUCUCCUUCUUCAUCAAGAAAAAGUGGAACCAGCUGUCCCUCCAGCAAAAACAGCAGCCCUAAUAGCAGCCCACGGACUUUGGGGAGGAGCAAAGGGAGGCUCUGGCUGCCCCAGAUUGGCAGCAAAAAUAAACUGUCAAGUAGUAAGAAGAACUUGGAUGCCAGCAAAGAGAAUGGGGCUGGGCAGAUCUGUGAGCUGGCUGACGCCUUGAGCCGAGGGCAUAUGCGGGGGGUGGGCAGCCAACCAGAGCUGGUCACUCCUCAGGACCAUGAGGUAGCUUUGGCCAAUGGAUUCCUUUAUGAGCAUGAAGCAUAUGGCAAUGGCUAUAGCAAUGGUCAGCUUGGAAACCACAGUGAAGAAGACAGCACUGAUGACCAAAGAGAAGACACUCAUAUUAAGCCUAUUUAUAUGCAAUUUCAUGCCAUUCAGGAAUUCUGAGUGGGGGCCAUUACGUCACUUAUGCCAAAAACCCAAACUGCAAGUGGUACUGCUACAAUGGCAGCAUCUGUGAGGAACGUCACCCUGAUGAAAUUGACACCAACUCUGCCUACAUUCUUUUCUAUGAGCAGCAGAGGAUAGACUACGCACAAUUUCUGCCAAAGAUUGAUGGCAAAAAGAUGGCAGACACAAGCAGUAUGGAUGAAGACUUUGAGUCUGAUUACAAAAAGUACUGUGUGUUACAGCAAAGCUACCACUCUGGCUGCUAGACAGCUUGGUGGGGAGGGAGAUGACUCCUUGUAGCUGAUACUUGGCAAAGAUGUCACUGAGAGAGGGGAUGCUUCAUCUCUGAGGUUGGAAACUCUGUAGAGCAGGAUUCCCUAACUCCUGGGCUACAGACCAGCACCGUCCAUGGCCUGUUAGGAACCGGGCUGCACAGCAGCAGCAAAGGGCUAUGCCAUGAGGCCGGGAAUUUGUGUCCGGAUGGCUCACUAAUGUAUCUGUGGUGCCUAGACCAGCGCCUGGGACAUGAAUCUUUGUCGAGUGCAUGGACCAGCAGUGCUUUAGAUAUUAUGCUAUUGCGUUAUCAGAAUCCAUUUCUUCCACACCUCUGAAGCCAGAAUAAUGCACGUGGAGAGGUUUUAAAGCUGUGGAAAAGCAGAGCCCUAGAAGAAAACAGCCCAGGCUGAGACUCUGGGGACAACAGGAGACAGAAGAAUACUUGAUGAUUUCAUAGUGGGAGGCAUGGAGAAUUAACGUAGUCAAGAGCUGCGAGGCAAUAAGAGGAGACUCUUGGGCAGCCCUCAAAUAGAUUAUUAUUCCUCCUCCUCUCUCCACCUUACCCCAGGAAUACCUGUUAGCAUCCUGCAGAACCAAUGUUUUGUGUAAUCCGUGGUGGGGAAAGCUGCUUGGGAAGAUUAGAAAUGCUCAACACCAGGCCCUCUGCUCGGCUCCUGGCACAUGCAUCGUGGACACCAGGAAGCGUGAGCCCCUGUUGCAUUUCUUCCUAAUGUCAGUCGCUCACAUCACCCUUGGCUUUCAGUCCUCAGAGUACAGCAAGUGGAAGUUCACCAACAGCCCCACGUUCCUGGAGCUGCUGGAGGAGUUCCCAUCCCUGCAGGUGUCUGCUGGCUUCCUGCUCUCCCUGCUCCCCAUUCUGAAGCCCAGGUUUUACUCCAUCAGCUCCUCCCAGGAUCACACGCCCACAGCGAUCCACCUGACUGUGGCCGUGCUCAUGUACCACACUCGAGCUUCUCAGGGCUCAGGGUCUGCCCUCUGAGCCCCAACUUCAACACCUCCCAUGGGAACCCUCCAAAGAAUGAACCAGGAAUGGAAACCAUAGAGCCCACGGCACCCCGGCACCUGAGACCCAAUGAGAAUCAACACUGCCUCUCCAGCCAACAUGCAAGGCUGCAGCCUGGACCCAGUGCCAGCAUCCCAAAUGCAGGCCCUCCAUUUGGGGAGUGGAUGGAGUAGGAGAGAAGGGCUGCAAGGACCCAGAUAGGCAGACAGAGGGACAGAGAGGGAACCAAAGAUCCUACUUGCAAGUUGUCCCCAGAGGCAAAGGUAUCGUCCACUGGGGACAUGGGGACCUGGAGGCAGCACAAGGACAGCUUUGCUCUGGUCGUGGGAGCCCUCUUGCUUCCCACACCCUCAACUUACUCCCCAUUGCUGUCUGUCAUUGAUCCCCAGGUGGGGCAAGUGAGGGACCUGAGUCAGCAUGUGGCUGGCUGCUGGGAGAGGGAGAACCCGCUGAGUCACGGCUCCUCCCCUGGAGCCUCCAUGAGCCAUCUAGGCAGGUGUGCACUGCCCACUGGUGCAGGGCUGUGGGUACCUGCACCUGUCUGUCAACACUGAUUCUUUCUCAUACAACAGGCACUUGCCAACACUCUGCCCAGCCAGACCCUAUCAGACCACAGUGAGGGGAUGGAGUGGGCCCGCAUAGGUGCCUCCACCUGAGUCUAGGCACCCCAGGCUUGUGUCUGCUGGGACACACCUAGCAGGGAGGCUGAGAGCACCGGCUUCGGAGCCAGGCAGGUCAUAGUGUAAAGCUGGAUUCUUCCACUUAUUUGGGGAAAGUUGCUUCCCCUCUCUGAACCUGUUUCCUCACUGUAAAUUCAGAUUCAUCCUUUAUUGAGCACCUACUAUGUGCCAGGCAUUGGGUUGAGUGCUGGGGAUAAAGUAAUGAGCAAGCCCUUAUCUUGAUGAACAGUUACGGAAUAAAAUAGACCUGCAAAAAUAAA